rnacentral:rRNA from 1 species
GACGAACGCUGGCGGCGUGCUUAACACAUGCAAGUCGAACGGAAAGGCCCUGCUUGCAGGGUACUCGAGUGGCGAACGGGUGAGUAACACGUGGGUGAUCUGCCCUGCACUUCGGGAUAAGCCUGGUAAACUGGGUCUAAUACCGGAUAUGACCUUCCAUGUAGUGUGGGGGGUGGAAAGAUUUAUCGGUGUGGGAUGAGCCCGCGGCCUAUCAGCUUGUUGGUGGGGUAAUGGCCUACCAAGGCGUCGACGGGUAGCCGGCCUGAGAGGGUGGACGGCCACAUUGGGACUGAGAUACGGCCCAGACUCCUACGGGAGGCAGCAGUGGGGAAUAUUGCACAAUGGGCGGAAGCCUGAUGCAGCGACGCCGCGUGGGGGAUGACGGCCUUCGGGUUGUAAACCUCUUUCGACAGGGACGAAGCUUCGGUGACGGUACCUGUAUAAGAAGCACCGGCUAACUACGUG